rnacentral:lncRNA from 1 species
AUUAAACUGUUACAUGCUUAGAAGUAGAUGUUGGACAAGGAAGACAACAUAAUGAAUUAUGUUUGCUUGGUUCCGAACAAUGUUAUAUGACUAGAUAUCCCUUAGCAUGUGACGCUUGCUUCCACCUCAUAUCAGCCAAAACUUCCGCACUGAGUAGAGAUACUACUUGUGCAUCCAUAAACCUUCAACCCAGUUUUGCCAUGAGAGUCCACCAUACCUACCUAUGGAUUGAAGAAGAUCCUUCAAGUAAGUUGUCAUCGGUGCAAGCAAUAAAAAUUGCUCCCUAAAUAUGUAUGAUCUAUUAGUGUGUGG